rnacentral:rRNA from 1 species
CACGUAGUUAGCCGGCGCUUUCUCUGCAGGUACCGUCAAUUUCUCUUCUUCCCUGCUAACAGAGGUUUACAACCCGAAGGCCGUCAUCCCUCACGCGGCGUCGCUGCAUCAGGCUUGCGCCCAUUGUGCAAUAUUCCCCACUGCUGCCUCCCGUAGGAGUCUGGGCCGUGUCUCAGUCCCAGUGUCGGCCGGUCACCCUCUCAGGCCGGCUACCCGUCGUCGCCUUGGUGAGCCGUUACCUCACCAACAAGCUGAUAGGCCGUGAGCCCAUCUAUAACCACUACAUAACGCUUUCCACCAACACCCCAUGCGGAGAUUGGUCGUAUCCGGUAUUAGACCCAGUUUCCCAGGCUUAUCCCAGAGUUAAAGGUAGGUUACUCACGUAUUACUCACCCGUUCGCCACUAAUCCACCUAGCAAGCUAGGCUUCAUCGUUCGACUUGCAUGUGUUAAGCACGCCGCCAGCGUUCGUCCUGAGCCAGGAUCAAACUCU